GCAACAUCACCUGUUGCUCCAACACCAGGCUUCUGUAGAGCAGAAAACUGGAGCAAAGAAGAGAAAUACGUGUUUGUCAUUGAACUGAGCUGAGAAGAAGGAAGAGGAGAAUGAUAAGAUCAUAGCCUGCAGCACUUUGUUUAUGAGAACAUCCUUCCAGUGAUAUAUGUCUGCACCAGGUGAAAGAGCUUUAGCCAUGGGUGUCACAUGGGAAUGAAGACAACUGUGACACUGCGGAGCUGUAUGUCUUUGAGUCCCAGACAGCAUCUUGCACAAGUCCCUGACCUUUGAUGGAGAACUCCAGCUCCCACUACAAUACAAUGUUCUGUUAAUUAUCAGGAGACAAAAGAAGAAUAAAAAUCUCUUUUAAAGAAGCAAACUAGAGAAAAUUUCUAAUAUUGCAGAAAAUGUCCACUGCCUUCACAAGGACUUGAGACACGGCAAAUAUUAUCAUUUUUCCUAAGAAUAAAUGUUUGCCCUAUGACCCAGGUGAUCUGAUCAUCUACUGAGUGGGCAGAAUGGUGAGUUGUCACAA